rnacentral:rRNA from 1 species
UACGUAGGGUGCGAGCGUUGUCCGGAAUUAUUGGGCGUAAAGAGCUUGUAGGCGGUCUGUCGCGUCUGCUGUGAAAAUCCGGGGCUCAACCCCGGACUUGCAGUGGGUACGGGCAGACUAGAGUGUGGUAGGGGAGACUGGAAUUCCUGGUGUAGCGGUGAAAUGCGCAGAUAUCAGGAGGAACACCGGUGGCGAAGGCGGUUCUCUGGGCCUUACCUGACGCUGAGGAGCGAAAGCGUGGGGAGCAAACAGG